rnacentral:rRNA from 1 species
AAUGAACGUUGGCGGCGUGGAUUAGGCAUGCAAGUCGAGCGCGAACCCCGCAAGGGGUGAAAGCGGCGAAAGGGAGAGUAACGCGUGGGUAUCUACCCUCGGGACUGGGAUAGCUGCGGGAAACUGCAGGUAAUACCAGAUGACGUCCCCGGACCAAAGGUGUGAUUCCGCCUGAGGAUGAGCCCGCGUCCUAUUAGCUAGUUGGUGGGGUAAUGGCCUACCAAGGCAAUGAUGGGUACUGGGUGUGAGAGCACGACCCAGCUCACUGGGACUGAGACACUGCCCAGACACCUACGGGUGGCUGCAGUCGAGAAUCUUCGGCAAUGGGCGAAAGCCUGACCGAGCGACGCCGCGUGUGGGAUGAAGGCCUUCGGGUUGUAAACCGCUGUCAGAGGGGAGGAAUGGGCGGAGGGUAAUCUCUUCGUUUUGACCUAUCCUCAGAGGAAGUACGGGCUAAGUUCGUGCCAGCAGCCGCAGUAA